ACUGAGUCUGCAACCCGACUCCACGAAGUUGGAUUCGCUAGCAAUCGCGCAUCAGCCAUGGCGCGGUGAAUACGUUCCCGGGCCUUGUACACACCGCCCGUCAAGCCAUGGGAGCCGGGGGCGCCUGAAGUCCGGGACCGCGAGGACCGGCCUAGGGCGAAACUGGUAACUGGGGCUAAGUCGUAACAAGGUAGC
rnacentral:rRNA from 1 species